rnacentral:rRNA from 1 species
AAGUGUGUUGUGAAAUGUAGACGCUCAACGUCUGAAUUGCAGCGCAUACUGGUUUCCUUGAGUACGCACAACGUUGGCGGAAUUCGUCGUGUAGCGGUGAAAUGCUUAGAUAUGACGAAGAACUCCGAUUGCGAAGGCAGCUGACGGGAGCGCAACUGACGCUUAAGCUCGAAGGUGCGGGUAUCAAACAGGAUUAGAUACCCUGGUAGUCCGCACAGUAAACGAUGGAUGCCCGCUGUUGGUACCUGGUAUCAGCGGCUAAGCGAAAGCAUUAAGCAUCCCACCUGGGGAGUACGCCGGCAACGGUGAAACUCAAAGGAAUUGACGGGGGCCCGCACAAGCGGAGGAACAUGUGGUUUAAUUCGA